CCAAACCCCCUAAAACCCGUUCCCUCACUCCCGUCAAACCCUCAAACCCUUCUCUGUCUCCCAGUUAAACCCAAAGCCUAAUUCUCUUCUCUCGCCUGAUGUUGCCGGAAUUUUCCCUAUCUCGCCGGAACCCGAUACCACUCCGACGCCUAGCUCCCCUCUUCCCUUCGCGCGUCGUUCGCUUUGCGUGCUGCUGCUUCUGUUCGGUACUCCUGUAGCUACUCUCGAUCGGAAACCGCCGCCUGCUUCCAUCGCCUCAUCAAGUGCGCCCCACCAACAGACCGACAACCAGCCUUGCCGAAGCUUCGAGACCCUUCUGUCCCCUGUUCUUCGCUGCUCUUGUGAGCAGAGCGGAUGUUUGAAGAUGAUGAGAAGUCUAGCAUGAGUAGGAAUCCAAGCUUCUCCAAAAAAAUUGUAUAGUUAACAAAUUGGUUCUUUCAAUUUCUUUUAGGCAAACUCUUAAUGCAUGUAUUGUUGAUUAUUGAGAUCAUUAAGAUUUGAGAUUUUGUAUUAUUGUGGAUAAUGUUGAUUUGGUUCAACUUUGGUGUUUUUUUGUUAUCUUUGUGUUUUAUUUGAUUAAUGUUGUACU